GAAUCCCGUGCGAUGAGAUGCCCAAUUCCAUGUAAAGUUCCUUCGACGAGUCGAGUUGUUUGGGAAUGCAGCUCUAAGUGGGUGGUAAAUUCCAUCUAAAGCUAAAUAUUGGCGAGAGACCGAUAGCGAACAAGUACUGUGAAGGAAAGAUGAAAAGAACUUUGAAAAGAGAGUGAAAAAGUACGUGAAAUUGUUGAAAGGGAAGGGCUUGAGGUCAGACUUGGUUUACCAGGCCAGCAUCAGUUUGGAUGGCAGGAUAAUAGCCUAGGAAAGUGGCACCACUUCGGUGGUGUGUUAUAGCCUGGGUUGAUACUGCCUGUCUAGACUGAGGAC
rnacentral:rRNA from 1 species